CUACGAGAAGAAUGAUGUCCU
rnacentral:siRNA from 1 species